UACGUAGGGUGCGAGCGUUGUCCGGAAUUAUUGGGCGUAAAGAGCUCGUAGGCGGUUUGUCGCGUCUGCUGUGAAAACUCGGGGCUUAACUCCGGCCUGCAGUGGGUACGGGCAGACUAGAGUGCGGUAGGGGAGACUGGAAUUCCUGGUGUAGCGGUGAAAUGCGCAGAUAUCAGGAGGAACACCGGUGGCGAAGGCGGGUCUCUGGGCCGUAACUGACGCUGAGGAGCGAAAGCGUGGGGAGCGAACAGG
rnacentral:rRNA from 1 species